rnacentral:tRNA from 1 species
AGCAGGGUGGCGAAAUGGAAUCGCGUUGGGCUCAUAACUCAAAAGUCAGAGGAUCGAAACCUCUCUCUGCUACCA